UACGUAGGGGGCGAGCGUUGUCCGGAUUUAUUGGGCGUAAAGCGCGUGUAGGCGGCCACGCAGGUCCGCUGUGAAAACUCGAGGCUCAACCUCGAGCUGUCGGUGGAAACCGCGUGGCUAGAGUCCGGAAGAGGAGACUGGAAUUCCCGGUGUAGCGGUGGAAUGCGCAGAUAUCGGGAGGAACACCCGUGGCGAAGGCGGGUCUCUGGGACGGUACUGACGCUGAGACGCGAAAGCGUGGGGAGCGAACAGG
rnacentral:rRNA from 1 species